UACGAAGGUCCCAAGCGUUAUCCGGAUUUAUUGGGUUUAAAGGGUGCGUAGGCGGCUUAUUAAGUCAGUGGUGAAAGCCCCAAGCUUAACUUGGGAACUGCCAUUGAUACUGAUGAGCUUGAGUAGAUUUGAGGCGGGCGGAAUGUGUCGUGUAGCGGUGAAAUGCUUAGAUAUGACACAGAACACCAAUUGCGUAGGCAGCCCGCUAAACUCUUACUGACGCUGAGGCACGAAAGCAUGGGGAUCAAACAGG
rnacentral:rRNA from 1 species